rnacentral:rRNA from 1 species
AGUGAACGCUGGCGGUAGGCCUAACACAUGCAAGUCGAACGGCAGCACAGUAAGAGCUUGCCCUUACGGGUGGCGAGUGGCGGACGGGUGAGGAAUACAUCGGAAUCUACUUUUUCGUGGGGGAUAACGUAGGGAAACUUACGCUAAUACCGCAUACGACCUACGGGUGAAAGCAGGGGAUCUUCGGACCCUGCGCGAUUGAAUGAGCCGAUGUCGGAUUAGCUAGUUGGCGGGGUAAAGGCCCACCAAGGCGACGAUCCGUAGCUGGUCUGAGAGGAUGAUCAGCCACACUGGAACUGAGACACGGUCCAGACUCCUACGGGAGGCAGCAGUGGGGAAUAUUGGACAAUGGGCGCAAGCCUGAUCCAGCCAUACCGCGUGGGUGAAGAAGGCCUUCGGGUUGUAAAGCCCUUUUGUUGGGAAAGAAAAGCAGCAGGUUAAUACCCCGCUGUUCUGACGGUACCCAAAGAAUAAGCACCGGCUAACUUCGUG